ACCCCACUGCUAUCGGGAUAGGACUAAGACAUGCUAGUUGAGCGCUUCAGCUAAAAAGAGGCGCAGCGUACAGCUCAGUAACACGUGGCUAAUCUGCCCUUAGGACGAGAACAACCCCGGGAAACUGGGGCUAACUCUCGAUAGGUGAAGAACUCUGGAAUGAGUCUUCGCCCAAAAAGCUUCACGUUAUGCGCGUGAAGUUGCCUAAGGAUGAGGCCGCGACCGAUCAGGUUGUUGGUGAGGUAAUGGCUCACCAAGCCUUUUACCGGUGCGGGCCGUGAGAGCGGGAGCCCGGAGAUGGGCACUGAGACAAGGGCCCAGGCCCUACGGGGCGCAGCAGUCGCGAAAACUUUGCAAUACACGAAAGUGUGACAGGGCUAUCCCGAGUGCCAUCCGCUGAGGAAGGCUUUUACCCAGUCUAGAACGCUGGGGGAAUAAGGAGAGGGCAAGUCUGGUGUCAGCCGCCGCGGUAAUACCAGCUCUCCGAGUGGUGUGGAUGUUUAUUGGGCCUAAAGCAUCCGUAGCUGGCUAAGUUAGUCCCUUGUUAAAUCCACCGAAUUAAUCGUUGGAUUGCGGGGGAUACUGCUUGGCUAGGGGACGAGAGAGGCAGACGGUAUUCCCGGGGUAGGGGUGAAAUCCUAUAAUCCCGAGAAGACCACCAGUGGCGAAGGCUGUCUGCUAGAACGCGCCCGACGGUGAGGGAUGAAAGCUGGGGGAGCGAACCGGAUUAGAUACCCGGGUAGUCCCAGCUGUAAACGAUGCAGGCUAGGUGUUUGGACGGCACGUGCCGUUCUAGUGCCGCAGGGAAGCUGUUAAGCCUGCUCGCCUGGGGAGUACGAUCGCAGAUUGAAACUUAAAGGAAUUGGCGGGGGAGCACUCAUNAGGGGUGAAGCUUGCGGUUUAAUUGG
rnacentral:rRNA from 1 species